rnacentral:rRNA from 1 species
GACGAACGCUGGCGGCGUGCUUAACACAUGCAAGUCGAACGGAAAGGCCCUGCUUUUGUUGGUUGCUCGAGUGGCGAACGGGUGAGUAACACGUGAGUAACCUGCCCUUGACUUUGGGAUAACUUCAGUAAACUCGGGCUAAUAUCGGAUAUGAGCUCCUGCUGCAUGGUGGGGGUUGGAAAGUUUCGGCGGUUGUGGAUGGACUCGCGGCUUGUCAGCUUGUUGGUGGGGUGGUGGCUUACUAAGGCUUCGAUGGGUGGCCGGCCUGAGAGGGUGACAGGCCACAUUGGGACUGGGAUACGGCCCGGAGUGCAACGGGAGGAAGCAGUGGGAAAUAUUGCAAAAAGGGCGGAAGCCGGAUGCAGCAACGCCGCGUGCGGGAGGACGGCCUUCGGGUUGUAAACCGUUUUCGCCUGUGACGAAGCGUGAGUGACGGUAAUGGAUAAAGAAGCAACGGCUAACUACGUG